UACGUAGGGUGCAAGCGUUAAUCGGAAUUACUGGGCGUAAAGCGCGCGUAGGCGGCUUUGCAAGUCGGGUGUGAAAUCCCCAGGCUUAACCUGGGAACUGCAUUCGAGACUGCAUUGCUAGAGUAUGGGAGAGGGAAGUGGAAUUUCCGGUGUAGCGGUGAAAUGCGUAGAUAUCGGAAGGAACAUCAGUGGCGAAAGCGACUUCCUGGACCAAUACUGACGCUCAUGUGCGAAAGCG
rnacentral:rRNA from 1 species